UGACAUCAAGGAGAGCCUUCAAACACAGGAGGAGAAAGAAACACCAGUCUCUUUGCCCAGAAUCUUCUUCCUUUUGGAGGCAGGGGUUGCAGCAAAAUUCACGAAAGCCCAUGAAACACAGGCCGCCCUCUACCGCUGAGCUGGCAGUGCCCUAUAUCACAUGGGAAAGUGCAGCGUUUCGACAUGGGGCAUGGCGCUGAGAAGCCAGAACUGUGCUCCCUCUGCCCUCUGAUCUACAAGAAAUGCCAGCCUGGAUGUUCCGGUGGGAAAAGUGGCCAGAGGCCAAAGAGACAAUGGUCUAGGUUGUCCCAGGCUUUCUCUGGCAUACAAAGAGUUAACCCAGGCCACCCCCUCAAUCCUCAGUGUCCUUCAAAGGGAGAGAGGUUGCUGCCCCUUCUCCUCAGACACGUAUUUUGUCCAGGCUGUGUACUGAUCUCCUAAAUCCAGGAGGGGUGGGACCCUUUGGAGAACACAGUUCUGCAAACUCGGCAUGGAGAAAGGGCUGAGGGUGGAAGGACAGGAGCCUAGGAUCCGGGCUCCAGUCCUGCCUUUUGGACAGGCCAUUUCCUAAGCCUCCCUCAUCCUCAGUGUCCUCUGUAAAAACUGCCUGCAUUGCUUUCUAACAGCUAUUGCAAGGACCAACCCAUAGUUUCUAUCGCUUAUUUUGUGCCUAGUAUGUGCCACAGUGUAGAAAGCGUAUUACCUCUAAUACCUCGUUUAAUCUUCACAGCAUCCCUAUGAGGAAAGGUGGUCUAAUUAUUCCCGUUUUUUGGGGUGAGUAAACUGAGGCACGAAGAGGUGAAAUCCAUUGCCCAAGGUCACCUAACUCAGCCACGCUUCAAGCCCAGGCAGCCUGAACACAACUUAACCAAAAUCUGUUUUAACUCAGACCCUACUAGUCAUCCACCCUGCUCUGGGUCCUAGUGAGGAAAGUGAGGCUUGUGGAACAGAAGGGGACCAGAUCCCCUGGCUCCCCGCCGGUAGUUCUUCUCACCACCCUGGGCGCCACUGCCCACCAUGGAUGGGACUCCUUCAGCUAACUCAGGGGAAUGAGCGCGCACCGCAGGCACGCCCGCCGCCAAAAACCAACUUCCCCGGGGCGCGCGGAGGCAGCCGGGGCCACCCCCGGGCCGGGUCGCUUACCUGUCGCGGAGCGGGUCCGGGUGACAGAGGGGAGAAGCGCGGAGACCGAAAGCAGCAACAGCAGGGGCCACCACCGUCCGUUCCUCCUGCAAGAAGUGGGUGGCGAGAAGCCCAGGGAGGCUGGAGUCACUGUGAUUUCCUUAAAUGACAAAUGAAGAAACUGAGGCUCAGAGAGGCCGGGAGAAUAUACAAGGGCACACAGAAGGACUGAGCUCCUAACUGCUGUGCCUACCCUGCACGCCUGACACACGAACCCCACGUGAAUGCCCAGAAAUGGCCCCGUGAUAUAUACAAAUCCAUGCCGCAAAGAUAACCCUAAUAAAAAAUUGAACGUAUCUGAUA